UAUCUUGGACAAUGGGGGAAACCCUGAUGCAGCUUUCACGCGUGUAUGAAGAAGGCCCUCGGGUUGUUUAGUACUUUUGGCAGAGAAGGUAAGGUAUCCCCUAAUACGAGAUACUGCUGACGGUCUCUGCAGAAUAAGCACAGUUCAACUACGUGCCAGCAGCAGUGGUAAUACGUAGGGUGCAAGCGUUAAUCGAAAUUACUGGGCGUAAAGCGUGUGUAGGCGGUUAGAAAAGAAAGAUGUGAAAUCCCAGGGCUCAACCUUGGAACUGCAUUUUUAACUGCCGAGCUAGAGUAUGUAAGAGGGGGGUAGAAUUCCACGUGUAGCAGUGAAAUGCGUAGAUAUGUGGAGGAAUACCGAUGGCGAAGGCAGCCCCCUGGGAUAAUAACGACGCUCAGACACGAAAGCGUGGGGAGCAAACA
rnacentral:rRNA from 1 species